CAUUACCCAGAGCAGCAAUGAUUUGGGAAUUGAUAUUUUUACCAAAAUUACUGGCUAAAGCAGCAGCGAUCUACGGAGGCAAAAGAAGAACAAAGAUGUCAUCAUUCCCACACAAAUGUGUGUCCAGAAGGUCUGUGCAGACUCCAUUGACAUUUUCCAAAACAGUCAAACUUUCUGGUGCGUUGAGCUGGGUGAAGACAGGACCAGGGGCAAAGCACUGCCCCAAUGAAGGAAGGCUAGAAAGGAGAUAAAAGCAGGAGUGGAUUGAAGUUUCUGUCUUGCCGAUAAACCAACUGAAUGUAGUAAAUUAUGAGGUUCAGAUCCACGUCGGACUGACUGAGGAGCGCAAGAUUCUGAGGAUUCACUGUGAAACGCUGCACAUCCUGAGAAGAGAAGAAACAUUAUGUUUAUUAACAAGUCAUUUUCUACUGAUCUAUAAAUAUUUAAGCACAUUUGAAUUAAAUAAAGAACCUGCUGAGA